CAUUAAUUCUACGAUAACUUCAUUUAUAGGCCUGCAGUCGUUUACUCGUAAUGCUAAGUAGAGUUAUAACGAUGGAGCUAAAAGGAUGUGUUUUCUUCGUAUUUAUUAUAUUUGUGGUGAUUUCGCAUGCCGAUGCCGACCGCAAAAGUUUUUGGAACUUUCCAAUCUCAGCACAAGCCUUGGAGGAUCGGUACCAACUCCGAUUAAAAAAAGGAAAAUCUAACACAGCGAAGAAUGUAAAAGCGGCGAAAAAGGGAGGCGAUGCUGCAGCUAAAACUGAUAGAGCUAAACUUCUACAGUGCCAAAAAAGUCAUCAGGAAUUUGUCGAAAAUACUUAUAAACAACUUGAGGCUGCCUUAGGAGCAUAAUUAUGCUGCGUGGAUGAACAUUUUUGAGUUGAUAAACAAACGCAUUGUGAGGAUAUUAAUGCUAAAUUUAACCUUAUAAAGUGA